AGGGCUUUAGCUUAAUUAAAGCGUUUGUUUUGCAUGCAGAAGAUGUGAGUUAAUGUCUCGCAGGCUCUA
rnacentral:tRNA from 1 species